rnacentral:rRNA from 1 species
AGCUCCAAUAGCGUAUAUUAAAGUUGUUGCCGUUAAAAAGCUCGUAGUCGAAUUUCGGCCUUUGCCGCCCGGUCCGCCUAUUUGGGUGUGUACUGGAGCGGUGGAGGCUUACCUCGUGGUGAGCUGUUAUGCCCUUUACUGGGUGUGGCAGGGAACCAUGAUUUUUACUUUGAAAAAAUUAGAGUGUUCAAAGCAGGCUUACGCCCGAAUACAUUAGCAUGGAAUAAUAAAAUAGGACGUGCGGUCCUAUUUUGUUGGUUUCUAGGAUCGCCGUAAUGAUUAAUAGGGAUAGUUGGGGGCAUUCGUAUUCAAUUGCUAGAGGUGAAAUUCUUGGAUUUAUUGAAGACGAACUACUGCGAAAGCAUUUGCCAAGGAUGUUUCA